CCUUGAGUCAGAAAGUCUAGACACUCCCCUGGGAAUGGGGGCGGAAUGUGGGACGUGGCUAUGACCUCCAGGACUCUGGAAACAGAAAAGGCAAAGACCUGGAAGGUCCUGAGGCAAAUGGGCUCAACAGAUCUUUUUCCUGUUUUUUGAGACAGAGUCUCACUCUGUCACCAGGCUGGAGUACAGUGGCAUGAUCUCGACUCACUGGAAUCUCCACCUCUCAGAUUCAAGCGAUUCUCAUGCCUCAGCCUCCUAAAUAGCUGGGAUUACAGGCACACACCACCACACCCAGCUAAUUAUUGUAUUUUUAGUAGAGACAGCGUUUCACCAUGUUACCAGGCUGGUCUUGAACUCACGAGCUCAGGCUAACCACCUGCCUAAGCCUCCCAAAGUGCUGGGAUUACAGGCGUGAGCCACCACACCCAGCUGAGAGUUCUUGAUGAAGGCCCAUAAAGCAAAAUGAAAGCCCACUGCCCUGGUGUUUAGACAUAAGCCAGGCCUCACCCGACUUGGAGACAGGCAGCGCCACUCAGCAGGAGAGUUACAGACCUCAGCCAAAUCUGGGGACCACCAAUUUCCUACCAGGGCAACCUGAGAAUGUAAUCUCUCUGGGUCUCAGUUCCUUCCCCUCUUAAAUAGGUACAACCAUUGCAACAACCAGAAUAGCUAACACUGACGAAGAACUUCCUGUGUAUCAGGCUCUGUAAUAAAUACUACAUUCAUGGACUCUUGACAAUCCUACAAUGUAGUAUUAUUAUAUUUCAUCGAUUCUAAGAUGUUCUUUUUUAUGUUUUAACAUUCUCUGUUAUCAGGAUGAAUAACUGAUAAGAAAGCAUAUAAGUCAUGGUUAAUUUUUUUUUUUUUAAGAGACACAGUCUUGCUAUGUUGCCCAGGCUGGUCUUAAACUCCUGGUUUCAAGUGAAUCCCCCGCAUCAGCUUCCCAAAAUGCUGGGAUUACAGAAAUCCAUCAGCUCAUUUGAUAUGUUAUUUGACUUCUGAGAUACCACCAGCAAUAAUUCUGAGGAUGUUGUACCAUUGGAUAACAUCAGCUACCAUCUAUCAUCUAAUGACAAUUUCCUUUCCAUAACUGUCGGGGUCCGGCACGUCUGCCAGGGGACUACCGACCUGCGGGAGUCCCCGAGACCGCCAACAUAGAUGUCUCGUUCAACCUGAGAGAGAGAGUGUGUGGAAAAGAAAGAACAUAGAAAAGUAGAGUCUGGAGGGCUGCAUGAAGAUUAUGGCCAAAACGCAGCAAAUUUAUUUUUGUGGGUUACAGCUUUUAUACCUUUUGUCUUGUUUACAUUUACCUUAUCUCAGCAGAAAGAAACAAAGGGGAAGACAGAAAGGAAACAGAAACUCCAUAAAAUAGUUAUCAGGGGCUUGUGAUAUCCUGCUCAGAAGGCAGUUUAAGGGGGCUAGUGGUAGUAGUUUACAUUUCAAUGAUUUUACAUUUCAAAGAUACAAUGGCGCCCUUAAGGUGGCUAGUUAAACCUGUUUUUCAUCAGGAGCUAAAACAAAGGCUUGGCUCCAGGGAAAAUAUGGGCAGAGGUCUCUGCUCCUCUUAGGCAUUUCAAUUGCAGCAAGUUUAUUGCUUACACAGAGACUGAAGGGGGACAUGGAAACAGACAGCACAAUGUCCUCAUAAACUGCAGGCCUUUGCUUUGCAUUCUGUUGUUGCUUUUAGUGAGUCAGCUCACGGCCCUGUCUCACUUGACAGCCCUCGAGGUGAGGAAAUGCAGUACAGGUCCAGCAGCCAAACUGGGGCAAGUCAACUAGCUGUCUCGAGCCCUUGGCGCGAACACCACACGUAACUGCCUGGCUCUGAGAGCCAAUGCCCUGUAUUUUAAGUUUUCUUUGUUGGUUGGUUUUUCUUUGUUUUUGGUAGUACUCCAUUUCUGGUGGCAAUUUUGUAUUAUGUAGCAUUUACUAUGACAUGCUGUUGUAACAACCAAUCUAAAAGCCUCAGUAAUGUAUAGCAAUCAAGUUUUAUUGUUCAGUUACCUUACCUAUUGGCUGUGGGUGAGCUGUGGUUCUGCUCUUGUGUUUUCUCGUUCUCAGAUCCAGGCUAAGUCCAGCUUUUCACUGAAUUUGCCAAUUACAUAACAGAAAAUAGCAAUGGCCAAUGUAUUCAAUUGGCUUUUAAAACUUCAGCUCUAAAGUAACACAUAUCACUUCCCCUCAUAUUCACUGCAAAAGCAAAUCAAAUGGACAAACCAUGGCCCCAUGAUGUCAAUGUGGCAGAGAAGUACAAUAUAAUCCUCACACAGGGAAGGCAACAAACAAUUGGGAACAAUAGUAUAAUCUACCACAGCAUUUCAUCAUUUAGAAUAUUUGCUAUUGCUUUCCAUGCAUAAUCUUUAUCAUGAAGUGUGUACAUGUGUGUGCAUGUAUAUUUUAAAAGAUAAUUGCUGAGUUUAUCCAAACUCUUCACACUAUCUAAUGAUAUAAAACAGUUGUCCACUUUUAUUGAUACAAUAUUUAUAAUUUUUCCUAUACUUAACUACUCUUGAAUUUCUAAAAUACACUAUACUCAGUAAGUGUGGAUUAUUCUCUUGGUAACCCAGUGAAUUCUAUUUAAUAAAGUAUAACAUUUUUGCUUCUAUAUUAAAUAUAUAGAAGCAAUUUUUGCUUCAUUUUUCUAGUAUGAUUGGUUGGUAAUGUUCUUUUCUGGUUCAGUUCCAGUUUAGUUAUUAAAUUAUGGUAGUUUCAUAUGAAUUGGGAAAUUUUUAAUCUUUACUUGUAUAAAUUACAAUUUACCAGAAUUCUCUAUUCUUAAAGCUACAACUCAGGUUUGAAACUACCUGAUCCUGAGGACUCUAACGUAAUAGCGUAUUAACUAUCUAUUCCAACCUUUUGGUGGCAAAUGAACUCUUAAAGUUUUCUACUCCUUGGGUCACUUUUGAGAACUUAACAUUUAUAAGAGAAUCCUUUACUAUAGGUUUUCAAAUUUAUUGUCAAAGAGUUGCACAUACAUUUUAUUAUAAUAUGUUUUAUUUUGAGAGCUUGUUUGGAGGUUCAAGCAGGGAGCGCAGUUACUCAUAUACCCUUGACCAAAGUCCUUCUCUAUCAGGGAUGGUCAACCUCUUCGACUGAGCAUGCAGCUUCAGGAGGAAAUCACAUGUAGUAGUGAGGAAGGAAUGGGACACCUGCCUAGCCAGCCAGAUCAGCAACC
rnacentral:lncRNA from 1 species